rnacentral:lncRNA from 1 species
GCUCAUAACUCGUUUUCACUCUACUAUGGCAUCUCCACACAUCUUUUCUCCAUCUUCGUAAAAUAUACUUUUCUGGAAGUACUUCUACGUCAUUGCGGAUCAUGAUUGUAAUGGCAUGCCUACAAAGAAUACCUCUAAAUUGGAACCUUGAGCAGCUGCAACGUAUUUCACCAUUUUCUUUUUCAAAAUAUACUUCAAAAAAGGUUCUCUUUUUACCCUCUCCAACUUUGACAUCCUCUCUAACAAUAUUUUCACAACCCAUAGAAUUGACAUAUUCGCAAUACAUUUUCCGAAUCAUUUCUUGCUGAAAUUCUUGAAAUUUUGAAAUAGUGUACACAUCUCGGACUUGCCUCUCCAUUGCAUAAGAUGUUACACGUGGCAUUUGUUGGGAAAGACACCUGACAUCUUCUUCAACUUCCUUCUGAACUUUAUUCUUCAACGCACAACUGUAUUGCUCUACAAACUGCUUCAAAGUAGUCUUUAAGUUAACAUAACCAUCAAAAAAUGCAUUCAUACUUUCACUGCGUUGAGUAGAUUACAUUCCUGCCCAAAAAGUAUUGUUUAGAUAACAAGGUACCCAAUGAUGCCUCUCAUCAUAUAAGCCUCGUAACCAUUCGUUAUCCCCCAAAUCAUAUUCUAUAAUCAUGUGGUGCUAAGUUUCCUCAAAUUUUGCAGCACUCUGGGAAUCAUAAACAGCACAAUGCAAGACAUUACUUAUGUUGCGAUAUUCUUUAUAACCCCCUAGCUUCUCUGGAAUUUUCUUCAUUAUAUGCCAUAAACACCACCGAUGUCGAGUAUUGGGAAGCUUAAACAGAUUGGUUUCAACUUGCAUGACUAACUUCAACACGUGGAGAAAAAAUUUCUAAUAUGGUAAAAUUAGAGAUUGGAAGUGUUUUUGUCUGUGCUUACUGUAAGUGAACUGCUGUACCGUACAUCCGCCUUGGCCGUACAGCAGUAUUGUUUAGAUAACAAGGUACCCAAUGAUGCCUCUCGUCAUAUAAGCCUCGUAACCAUUCGUUAUCCCCCAAAUCAUAUUCUGUAAUCAUAUGGUGCCAAGUUUCCUCAAAUUUCGUAGCACUCUGGGAAUCAUAAACAGCACAAUGCAAGACAUUACUUAUGUUGCGAUAUUCUUUAUAACCCCCUAGCUUCUCUGGAACUUUCUUCAUUAUAUGCCAUAAACACCACCGAUGUCGAGUAUUGGGAAAGACAUUCUGAAUUGCAACUUUCAUUGCCCUGUCUUGAUCUGUAAUGAUUCCAUUGGGAGCUGAAUUAGACAUGCAGGAUAGCCAUGUUCGAAAUAACCACGUGAAUGUCUCAAUAUCUUCGUGUGAAAUCAAUCCACACCCAAACAAAAUAGAAUGCCCAUGAUGAUUAACUCCUACAAAUGGAGCGAACGGCAUAUCAUACUUAUUUGUAAGAUACGUGGUGUCAAAUGUAACAACGUCUCCAAACUCCUUGUACGCUUCCCUAUUCCUUGGUUAUGCCCAAAAAACAUUUUUUAAUCGUCCCUCAUCAUCCACUUGCACACUAAAGUAAAACCUAUUAUCUUCUGCUUGCACUUUCAUAAAAUAGUUUUGAAGAGCAGCAGCAUCUCCAUCUCCAAGCCGUAAUCUUCUUUCUUUCUGAACAUGAUUUCUACAAUCUCUUUCUAUGAAUGUCACAUUUUCAUGACC